rnacentral:rRNA from 1 species
ACUCCUACGGGAGGCAGCAGUGGGGAAUAUUGCACAAUGGGCGCAAGCCUGAUGCAGCCAUGCCGCGUGUAUGAAGAAGGCCUUCGGGUUGUAAAGUACUUUUCAGGCAGAUGAGGAAGGUGGAUAUGUUAAUAGCAUAUUCAUUUGACGUUAGCUGCAGAAGAAGCACCGGCUAACUCCGUGCCAGCAGCCGCGGUAAUACGGAGGGUGCGAGCGUUAAUCGGAA